UUCUGGGCAGUUGGGCCACGGGGAAAUGGUUAAUAGCUUACAACCGAAGCCGGUAAAGGCCGUGGAAGGCUUCGUUAUUAGUCAUGCCUCUGCUGGCUGGAGCCAUUCCGGAUUUGUUUCAGGCUUUCUGCUCUCACCAUCUGCUUGUAAAAAUAACUAAUUGAAAGAAAUGGAAUCAAGAGUUUAUAGGGACUUUAAAAGUUGAAAGCUUUUUUCGUUAUGGACUAAUGCAUUUGAUGCCCUAUUUUAUGUUUUUUGGUUGAUCUAUUCUUUUUUUAGAAUCUUACUACUUGAGAUAUUUGCUGAAGUUUUUCCUGUUUUCUGGAGAUUUAUUGAUUUAGUAAGUCUGGAUGUUAGAAUUCUAAAAAUGAGAGAUUGAUGCCUCUUUCAAUACUUCUUUACGUUAUUUUUGGUGGCACCAAAUUCAUACACUGGAUUUCAUCUUACAUGCAUUUUUCACAAUUUUGAUUCAGGAAUUUGAAUCUCCAAGUAGCAUAUCAUAGCUUCAACUUCCAUAGAAGUUAAUCUUUUGAAGGCUUAAAUCCUAGUACUACUACACACUGGUUUGCUAUUCACCUGUGGAGAUGGUUCAUUUGGCCAGCUUAGGCAUGGUGGUUAUAAGUCGCAAUGUACUCCGGUAAAAAUCUCAUAUUUCAGUUCUAAGCAUGUUGAUCAAAUAGCUUGUGGUAUGCGUCAUUCACUAGUCUUACUAAAAGGUAAUUUUGCAAGAAACUUUCAUGGUCUUUGUUCAGUAAAUCGAAAAUUUAUUCUAAAUGACUCUUGUAAUUAAAGGAUCAUUGCAUUUAAAAGAAAUUUCUAAUAAGUAAGUGGAACCGUUGCAACAGUAUUUAUGAAGGAUUUAUUGCGAACAGGAAAGGUUUGGAUGGAGGGGGAAUUAUUAAAAAAUGAGAAGUAUGCUAUGAAUUUUCCCUUACACAAAAACUUCUCCAUACUCGAUAAGUUUGGAGGCCAAACAUUCCAAACUCGCCCAACUUGUUCAGUUUGGAGAUGGUGGAAAGUUAGUUCUACUUUGA